rnacentral:rRNA from 1 species
AUACGGAGGGGGCUAGCGUUGUUCGGAAUUACUGGGCGUAAAGCGCGCGUAGGCGGAUUAGUCAGUUGGGGGUGAAAGCCCGGAGCUCAACUCCGGAAUUGCCUUCAAUACUGCUAGUCUUGAGUUCGAGAGGGGGUGGUGGAAUUCCUAGUGUAGAGGUGAAAUUCGUAGAUAUUAGGAAGAACACCAGUGGCGAAGGCGGCCACCUGGCUCGAUACUGACGCUGAGGUGCGAAAGCGUGGGGAGCAAACAGGAUUAGAUACCCCAGUAGUCC